rnacentral:rRNA from 1 species
AUAUCAAUAAGCGGAGGAAAAGAAACCAACAGGGAUUGCCUCAGUAACGGCGAGUGAAGCGGCAACAGCUCAAAUUUGAAAUCUGGCUCCCUUCGGGGGCCCGAGUUGUAAUUUGGAGAGGAUGUUUCGGGCAAGGCGGCGGUCUAAUUUGCUUGGAACAGCGAGUCAGAGAGGGUGAGAAUCCCGUCCGGGAUCGUUAGCCGCGCCCAGGUGAAGCUCCUUCGACGAGUCGAGUUGUUUGGGAAUGCAGCUCUAAACGGGUGGUAAAUUUCAUCUAAAGCUAAAUAUGGGCCGGAGACCGAUAGCGCACAAGUAGAGUGAUCGAAAGAUGAAAAGCACUUUGAAAAGAGAGUUAAACAGUAUGUGAAAUUGUUGAAAGGGAAGCGCUUGCAACCAGACCUGUGGCUGACGGUUCCCCCGACCUUCUGGCCGGGCUCCUCCGUCACGUCCAGGCCAACAUCGGUUUGGGUGGUCGGUUAAAGGCCCCGGGAAUGUAUCUACCCUCGGGUCGACUUAUAGCCCGGGGUGCCAUGCGGCCCACCCGGACCGAGGAACGCGCUCCGGCUCGGAUGUUGGCGUAAUGGUUGUAAGCGGCCCGUCUUGAAACACGGACCAAGGAGUCUAACAUCUAUGCGAGUGUUUGGGUGCGAAACCCCUACGCGGAAUGAAAGUGAACGGAGGUAAGAACCCCGUCAGGGGCGCAUUAUCGACCGAUCCUGAUGUCUUCGGAUGGAUUUGAGUAAGAGCAUAGCUGUUGGGACCCGAAAGAUGGUGAACUAUGCAUGAAUAGGGUGAAGCCAGAGGAAACUCUGGUGGAGGCUCGCAGCGGUUCUGACGUGCAAAUCGAUCGUCAAAUUUGUGCAUAGGGGCGAAAGACUAAUCGAACCAUUAAGGAAUCAGGCUAGUGGGUGGUUCGGAAGCAGUCCUUCGGGGCGACACCGUCCUUUUGGCGGGGAUUUUGUUACCCGCAGCAGUUGGAUUAAAACCCAGCUGUCCACAGACUAGGAGACGGUGGUCAUCUUGACCGUGAGAUGAUGAUGAUAUAGUCGAUCUCGGUGAAAAUGUCUUAGCCGUGAAUCAACGCUGGUAGCUGGUUCCUGUCGAAGUUUCCCUCAGGAUAGCAGUAACGUUUUCAGUUUUAUGAGGUAAAGCGAAUGAUUAGAGGCCUUGGGGUUGUAACAACCUUAACCUAUUCUCAAACUUUAAAUAUGUAAGAAGUCCUUGUUGCUUAACUGAACGUGGACAUUUGAAUGUAUCGUUACUAGUGGGCCAUUUUUGGUAAGCAGAACUGGCGAUGCGGGAUGAACCGAACGUGAGGUUAAGGUGCCGGAAUGUACGCUCAUCAGACACCACAAAAGGUGUCAAUGCAUCCAGACAGCCGGACGGUGGCCAUGGAAGUCGGAAUCCGCUUAGGAGUGUGUAACAACUCACCGGCCGAAUGCAUUGGCCCUGAAAAUGGAUGGCGCUUAAGCGUGCUACCUAUACCUCGCCGUUGGGGUUGAAAUGAUGCCCCAACGAGUAGGCAGGCGUGGGGGUUAGUGACGAAGCCUUGGGGGUGACCCCGGGUUGAACAACCUCUAGUG